rnacentral:rRNA from 1 species
GAUGAACGCUGGCGGCGUGCCUAAUACAUGCAAGUCGAGCGAACAGACGAGGAGCUUGCUCCUUUGACGUUAGCGGCGGACGGGUGAGUAACACGUAGGUAACCUACCUAUAAGACUGGGAUAACUUCGGGAAACCGGAGCUAAUACCGGAUAAUAUUUCGAACCGCAUGGUUCGAUAGUGAAAGAUGGCUUUGCUAUCACUUAUAGAUGGACCUGCGCCGUAUUAGCUAGUUGGUAAGGUAACGGCUUACCAAGGCAACGAUACGUAGCCGACCUGAGAGGGUGAUCGGCCACACUGGAACUGAGACACGGUCCAGACUCCUACGGGAGGCAGCAGUAGGGAAUCUUCCGCAAUGGGCGAAAGCCUGACGGAGCAACGCCGCGUGAGUGGUGAAGGUCUUCGGAUCGUAAAACUCUGUUAUUAGGGAAGAACAAACGUGUAAGUAACUGUGCACGUCUUGACGGUACCUAAUCAGAAAGCCACGGCUAACUACGUG